ACCAGUACAAAUCCCAUUAGGACUCUAUAGCGUAACCUAUGCAAGGCACUAGUCACUUAAGUGAUUUAAGUCAUUUAGCGCCACUCGGUUUCAUGCCCAAACCCCGUUCCCGAUAUACUUUCUCAUCCACACACGACACUCUCCUCUCUCAAGCCCUAGUCGUAUCUCUCUUCACAUCUUAUCAUUUUCGAUCUUUUCAUGAUUAAGAACGUGAACAAAUCAUCCUAAUCUACGUUUCUCUAUCAUAGUCCAUAUUACAUUCAUCAAAGGUUAUUUUGUCACCAAUCCACCAAAAGGAGAGAUUCUAGAUGCAAGAGUUUGGCUAGGACUAAGUGACAAAGUUGAUAAAUUUGAAUAAGACUAGACAACCAGCACCACAACGCUCCAAUAGAAUUUACAAUCUAAUCGUAGAUUUUGCAUACUAGUAUGAUGAGGGUGUCUUUGAGCAAGAUGACCGAUUGCACUUGGGAGUAAGGAGGAUGACCUGACGAUUCAUCGGUGGACCAUCGAUUAGCCACCCCCUAUUUGUGUUUCCUUUUAUCCCACUGGGGAGAACUUCUAUUUGAUUUCCUAAACAAUUUUACGGAUAUGUAAUGACUCAGUGAUCUAUUUGGUGACUCGUGGAUGGUAUUUUGAGGUUUAAAUUUUUUGUAUGGUACUAAUUAUUUUAGUCUUA